rnacentral:lncRNA from 1 species
GGCUUCUUGAUGUUGCAAGAAGCCUACUUUAGUAACAUCAAAGUUAAUUGGGAAGGGGCAAGGAUAGUGAAGCCCAUCGUUGAGCUGACACAAUCUUACACCCAAGAGAUCAUUGAAAUUACUGUAAGGAAGCAGAAAAAUGAGCUAAUUAUUAACAGUAAACCUUCCAUAGAACUAUCAGACCCAUGGAAGUACUUGAUUACCCACCUCUUAGAAUGAGUUUUUUUGUUUUUUUUCAGAACACUUAACCUUCCAAUGUAAGAACAGGCACCACGAAGUGACACAACAACCGAAACUGAUUAGAUGAUGCAUGCUCCUAAUGUUUUAUCAUUCUUCCAUUAUAUUAUUUUUUUUUUUUCAUUUUUUUCAUUUUAAUGCAAUUUUCCAUUAUAUGUUAUAAUUUAUCAUGAUGUUUUUAGGAAAAAAAGCUUUUACUCAAUAAUCUUGUAACC